rnacentral:lncRNA from 1 species
UUUUCAAUAGAUCAUAGACAUACAACAUGCAUGUUUUCUCUAUCAGAUUUUUGUUACAUAGACAAGCAUGAUCUCAUGUUUUCGAGUAUUAAUUUGCUUUAGAAAAGUCUUUGCAAUGCUUGAAGGAAUUGGGGGAAUUUUGCUAUUACAAUAAUGAAAGUUGAGAACACCAUUGUCUAAGCAGGUGAAAGAAUGAAGUUGGAAACACCAUCAUCUUGCGGUCGUCGAUCCUUUCUCUGCACAAGAUUAAAAUCUUGAUUUUACUAAGUAGUGCCAUCGAGAAAUCUCAACUCAUAAUUGUCCAUUAAUGCAAUGUUAGCAACCGGUGGUUUCCGGGAUUAGCACCAUAGAUGGGUAGUUGCUUGUAACAAGACUGCUAGAAGGAAAGCUACUAAUGCAAUGUAAGGAAUUUCUAUGCAUAUCAUCUGGGGCCUGACAGACUUUUUUUCUUUCUUGCUGGAGUCCCUGGGUCGAAGUCCUGCACAAAAAGCUAAAGAUCAUGCAAUAUGCACAAGGAUUCCAUGUAUUCAAUAAAAGAAGGUGGCCAAGAAAAAAAAAGAAAAGAAGAAAAAAACUGUUGUCAGAUAGACAUGCGAAGAGGAUUAGGUAUUAGAAAAAAAUGAGCAAUCAGGUCAGGAUAUGUAACUGAAAGGACGAGAAUGAUGCAGAAUAUCAAACAGUUGCCGAGUUGUAUAACAUCCAUCCCUGGCUUGCUGUAGCAGCUGCAAAAUAUGAAGAAUAAA